CCUACGGGUGGCAGCAGUGAGGAAUAUUGGUCAAUGGGCGGAAGCCUGAACCAGCCAAGUAGCGUGAAGGAUGACGGCCCUAUGGGUUGUAAACCGCUUUUAUACGGGAAUAAAGGGCCGUACGAGUAGGGUUUUGCAGGUACCGGAAGAAUAAGGACCGGCUAAUUCCGUGCCAGCAGCCGCGGUAAUACGGAAGGUCCGGGCGUUAUCCGGAUUUAUUGGGUUUAAAGGGAGCGUAGGCCGCAUGUCAAGCGUGCGGUUAAAUUUCCGGGGUCAACCCGCUCCUGGCAGCGCGAACUGGCGUGCUUGAGUCUGCGGAAAGCAGGCGGAAUUCGUCGUGUAGCGGUGAAAUGCUUAGAUAUGACGAAGAACCCCGAUUGCGAAGGCAGCUUGCUGCAGCUGAACUGACGCUGAUGCUCGAAAGCGCGGGUAUCGAACAGGAUUAGAUACCCGAGUAGUC
rnacentral:rRNA from 1 species